AAAAUGACAGAAAAGGAAGACAAAUCUAUGUCUCUUCAUCGUAUAUUCUAACACACAUCAGUGACCAAUUAAAAGAAGAAUGCCGGUGGCUGUGACUCUGGACAGAGAACAAAGGAGCAGUCCACGAGCCCCACGGGCUUACAGAAGUCUGUCAUUCACACUGUCAGUCUUCCGGAUCGUUAUUCAAGUUGCUAUCCCCAAUUUCACAGGCUAUAUCAGAUCUACUCCAGCGCCACAGGUGAACAAUGCACUUUGUUCCUAUUUUUAAGGAUGGUGAAGUGGUAAACUGGCAAAUAUUAUAAGGACACCCCGAAAGCGUGCUGUUACUAUGGCAAUAAAAAGAAGAGCCGAUA